GGGAGUAUAGCUCAGUGGCAGAGCACAUGACUACAAAUCAAGAGGUCCUCGGUUCAAAUCCAGCUGCCCCUU
rnacentral:tRNA from 1 species